AACCUAUGAAAAAUGUAACCACCUUUCCAUCUUGAACUUGAAUAAAUUCUCCCGAAAAUCCAAUAAUCUCGCUAGUGUAAGUGGAAUAGACCUUCCUCGUCAAAAAUAAUUGUCAAAAAUAUUGUAACGAUUUGGCUGAUUCAAUCUUUGGGUUGCUCACUGCUGCUUCUAAAAAAUCAGUGCUGUUUUUGGUCAUCGGUGAUGAUAAGGAACAGAACUUUCGCUUACGGAAUACACUCCCCAAAUAUCCAGUCAAAUUCGGCCAAGUACACGAAAUCAAAAUUGCGGAUAAUAGAUGUUAACGGUGUGAUAAAAGUUCCAUCCCGCCACUUAAGCCACUGUAAAGCAUAUUUAUUUUGGAUGGCAAGGCCUAGUAAAUCUACUGCUGAAUAGGGAAAUGACAAAUCCCAACGGCAAGACAUCCCGAGAGAAAUCGUUUAAUACAAGUGCAAGCCAUCCACAGGAUAUUGCCAGCAGUAACACUCGUGAAAUUGAUUCCUUCAUGCUGCACGAACAUAAGAUAUCCUAAUAUCGCCAAAAUCUUGGCUCAACCUAUUCCGAUUGAACAAUUGGCCUCAGAUGAAGGAUUUGUGAUUCUAUUUAAGAUCUGAACACACAAAAUUUAUACAGCAUAUGGUUGAACGAAGGAAUAUCAACAAUCUCACUGAGUGUCGUCGAAAUCGUAGUUUCACGUCUGCUGACACCUGCUAAUUGAGGCCACUGGUCGAAGAUUGUGACGCAAUUUAAUCGUGUUGUUUUGGUGAUAUAGUGCACAAGUGACUGGCAGAAAACUGUACCCGUAGUAAGUGCCAGUUACACGAUCCGUCAGCCUUCCGUCACCGGUAGGUAUAGCACUUCAACGGAACAUCAAAUUUAGUUGCAUGCAGUUUCUAUGGAGAAGUUUAGGCACAACAUCCACGACACAAAACAUUAUGACGUACGGAACGUAUGAAUGUGCACACGAGAAAUGUAUUCAACGUAUCAUGAUGGAACGGUGACUUGAGGUCAAGGUUCUAUUCCAUUGACGGAAGCAGAUGUGUCGUGUGAAUCGUACUUGCCGAAUGGUACUCGAUGCUAUUGCGACGCAAUCAUGCCUCACUGUCUAAACUUUUGAGAUCAGUGUACAAAACCAGCCGGCCUAUCUGUGCAACCAGAGUAUUCUUUACAAUAUCUUCGGUUUAGGCAUCAUCGGCGAAAAGAUUAAUAAUCUUGGAACGAAAUGCAAAUGUGUAACCAAGGGAUUACCAACAUUCGCAUUUCGUCACGGGAAUGGAGAGCGACACGCAUACGAACAAAAUGCUUCCUGUAUGCACUUUCGGCCAAACGGAUUAAAAUAAAAAUAUUGACCCACAUAAAUAUUGUAGAUCACAUAGGUUUUUUAAAAUGAAAGUAGUAAAUAGUAUGUUCUACUAUUACAAUCGCUAUCUACAACAAGAUGAUAGUAAAAUGUACCAUAUCUCGACAUCGUGUUUCUUACUAUAAAUAAUUUAUACUAAUAAAAUUUAAAGUCGUAAUAUAUCGUUGGAGUCACUAUGGUUAUAGUAAA